rnacentral:rRNA from 1 species
AACGCGUAUGCAACCUACCUUCAACUGGGAGAUAGCCCCUCGAAAGAGGGAUUAAUAUCCCAUAGUAAUAAGAAGAGGCAUCUCUUUUUGUUUAAAGCUCCGGCGGUUGAAGAUGGGCAUGCGUGACAUUAGCUAGUUGGUGAGGUAAAGGCUCACCAAGGCUACGAUGUCUAGGGGUUCUGAGAGGAUGAUCCCCCACACUGGUACUGA